rfam:Tupaia chinensis contig230301, whole genome shotgun sequence.
AUGCUUGUUUUGGCAGCUCAGAUACUAAAAUUGGAAUGACACAGAGAAGAUGAGGAUGGUGUCUGUGCAAGGAUGACACGCAAAUUUAUGAAAUGAUAGCUAAGAAG